AGGCUCUUUGCCUUCGCCUCGUCUCUCUAUCUGGCAAGCUUUUCCUUGUCCUUCAGCUUUUGCUGUGUUGGGCACUUGCUCCCAUCUGCUUGCUUCUCUAGAAUCCACUGCCCUAGAAUGAGUAAUUUUUCUUAGAAGCAGAGUUGGAACCACUGAGGAAGCACAGUCAUCUGAUUCAUCCUGGUAGCAAUUCCAUUCUGCAUCUCUUCUGGACACCCACAGGACCACCAGAACAACCCCAUCAUGGCCCUGUCACCAGGCCCAGUUUGGCUCCAUGAUAACCAAGACGCAGGUCCAGAGACAACCGCCCUGCUUGAUGCCUGCAUCUGACCUCCCUUGGUGGGUAGUGAUGAGCACAACAUGGAAGAAGCCAGGGCAGCUUGUGGCCAGCUGCCCUACAGCCCCAGAUGGCUGGGGACUAGGAUUCCAAAAGGAUGAUUUUGGAGCUGUAGGAUUGAAUGACUGGCCUGCUGGGUUUUGGAUGUUCGUGUAUCCUAUGAGUCCCAUCGGUGUUUGUUUUUCUUUCAGGCAAUUUUUCUUCUAUUGGCUGGGAAUGCUUACCCAUUGCCUGUACAAUCAUUGUACCUUGGAAGUAGUUAACUUGCUUUAUAAUUCAGAGGCUCAUGGGCAGAAGGGACUGUAUCCUUGUCCCAGAUAAAACUUUGGGCUUUGGACAUUUGCUGGAAUGAGUUAAGAUUUGGGGGACUGUAGGGAAGUCAUCAUUGUAUUUUGCAACGUGAGAAAGACAUACGAGAUUUGCAUGGGCAGGGACAGAAUAAUAUGACUUGGCUCUGUGUCCCACUGCUGUGAAAUUGUAACGGGAAAUGUUAAAGGUGGUGGGGGCUGGUGGAAGGUGAUUUAAUCAUGGUGGAGAGUGGAGGUUGGAAGGUGGGG
rnacentral:lncRNA from 1 species